rnacentral:rRNA from 1 species
GACGUAGGUGGCGAACGUUAUCCGGAAUUAUUGGGCGUAAAGGGUGCGUAGGCGGCAUGAUAAGUUAUUGGCGGCAAAUCGAGGCUCAACCUCGUGGAAACUUAUAAUACUGUCUUGCUUGAGUGCAGAGGAGGUUAACGGAACUCCAUGUGGAGCGGUAAAAUGUGCAGAUAUAUGGAAGAACAUCAAUAACGGCGAAGGCAGUUAACUAUUCUGUUACUGACGUUGAGGCACGAAAGCGUGGGGAGCAAACCGG